rnacentral:ribozyme from 11 species
AGAGACGGAGAAACAAAGAAGAAAAAGGGGCGGAAAGAAAAGAAAAGGACCAGACUCCUUCCUGCGACCUCACGUUACUGUCUUUCUCUCCUUUCCCCCCGCCUUUUGCUCUCUAUAUCUCUCUAUCUCCAUCCACUUUGUCUUGACAGGCACUUCCUCGAAGGGAGUCAGAGAGAAGAAGAGGAAGAGAAGGAACAUGCAGGUAGAUCGAGAGAGGAAGAAAAG